GGAUGUGAGGGUGAUCUGGCUGUGACAUCUACCACCCUACUGAUCACCAGGGUUGAUUGGGCUCAUCUGGCUGGCUCGGCAGGUGUCCCCUUCGUCCCUCCAUGUGCGUCCCUCCCGAAGCUGCACGCUCGGUCAAAGAGGAUGGCCUUCCCCCAUACGGACCGGUCUUUGGUUGAGGCUAUACAGGUAGCUGCACUUUCCUGCUAGAACCUCCAAACAAGCUCUCAAGGUCCAAUAGUGUCACAAAGUCCCCUUUUCUCCACAUCUAUGCCAACGAUGGCCAUUUGUUGAUGU
rfam:Erinaceus europaeus unplaced genomic scaffold scaffold00175, whole genome shotgun sequence